rnacentral:misc_RNA from 1 species
AACCUAGCACACCUGCGGUGUGUACCUGCGGAAGGAUCAUUACAACAAGGUUCCCUGGCCCUCGAAGCUUCGGCGGAGGGGCGCUACAGCCUGACUUUAUACCCACCCUUUGCCUAUGUGUACCCCUAUUGCUUCCCUCGGCGGGUUCGCCCGCCGACAGGAACCAACUAAACCCUUUGCAUUAUACAUUUAACACUUCCGAUACAAAACUAAAUUAUUACAACUUUCAACAACGGAUCU